AACGCACAUUGCGCCCUUUGGUAUUCCGAAGGGCAUGCCUGUUCGAGCGUCAUUAUCACCCCUCGGGCCCCGUGCUCGGUGUUGGACGGCCGGUUCGGGCGACCGAACCCCUCCUAAAGACAAUGACGGCGGCCUGUGGUUCCCCCGGCACACUGAGCCUCUGGCACGUGUCGGACGAGGGCGCCCAGGACCCGGUCCUCUCCUCUCAGCAGGAAACUUCUCAAGGUUGACCUCGGAUCAGGUAGGAAUACGCGCUGAACUUAA
rnacentral:misc_RNA from 1 species